UAAGACGUAGGGUGCGAGCGUUGUCCGGAUUUAUUGGGCGUAAAGAGCUCGUAGGCGGCUCGUCGCGUCGACCGUGAAAACCAGCAGCUUAACUGCUGGCUUGCGGUUGAUACGGGCGGGCUAGAGUUCGGUAGGGGAGACUGGAAUUCCUGGUGUAGCGGUGAAAUGCGCAGAUAUCAGGAGGAACACCGGUGGCGAAGGCGGGUCUCUGGGCCGAUACUGACGCUGAGGAGCGAAAGCGUGGGGAGCGAACAGG
rnacentral:rRNA from 1 species